CCUACGGGUGGCAGCAGUGAGGAAUAUUGGUCAAUGGGCGCGAGCCUGAACCAGCCAAGUCGCGUGAGGGAAGACGGUCCUAUGGAUUGUAAACCUCUUUUGUCGGGGAGCAAAAGAAGCAACGCGUGACGAUCCGAAAGUACCAGAAAAAAAAGAAACGGAUAACUCAGAGCCAGCAGCCGCGGUAAUACGGGGGAUGCGAGCUUUAUCCGGAUUUAGUGUGUUUAAGGGGUGGGCAGGCGGAAGAUCAAGUCAGCGUUAAAAUUGAGAGUCUCAAACUCGUCGAGCCGUUGAAACUGGUUUUCUUGAGUGAGCGAGAAGUAUGCGGAAUGCGUGGUGUAGCGGUGAAAUGCAUAGAUAUCACGCAGAACUCCGAUUGCGAAGGCAGCAUACCGGCGCUCAACUGACGCUCAUGCACGAAAGUGUGGGUAUCGAACAGGAUUAGAUACCCGUGUAGUC
rnacentral:rRNA from 1 species